CCCAAAUCCAAAAUACGUAUAUCUUGGUGGGGAACUUCAAUUUGUCUCUGCCAUAAGACAAACGAAUGUCCUGAUACUUUUUGAUUCUUUAACAAAAUUAUCCUUGUAUUCUUAGGUUUAUAUAUUCACUAACAUUUAACAUAACACAAAUCUGUUACGUGAAUUAAAGACACACAAAGGCAUUUUUACCAGUGUUUGGAAGUUUGUGAAUAGUAAAGGGGAACAGGCCAAAAUUUCAUGCGUUGAGGAUAUAAGUAAAACAGAAAGUGCAAAAAUGUAAACUACACAAACUCAAUCUCUUGUGGAACAAUUAGAAAACUAAUAAUACAUUUUACUCUUGAAUGUUGAUAUUCCACUCGAAGUUUGGUUGGUUGCUAAGCUUAAGGAUAAACACUAUGAAAAAUGUGAAGACAGAAGGGCUGGCC
rnacentral:lncRNA from 1 species